rnacentral:lncRNA from 1 species
AUUAAUUUUUCGAUCUCAACUUAAUCAAUUGUAAGUUACAGUCACAAUUGCUUCUAACAACACUACUGUUGUCGCCGCCACAACGAUAACGACAACCAACACUACCACAAAUAACAUCACGAUGGCUACACUAUCACCGCCAACACCAUCACCUAUACCAACAUGAUCACAACCACCAACUGCAUAAAAAAUGCAUGUACUAAUCGCCGCCUGUACCAAAUCCAUUAUGUCCUCCACCUUCUACACCUACACAGUUACACCUCAAUAUAUCAUAACUCCACCACCAACAAAAAGAAAAAAAAAAAACCCUAAACAGGCUGCACGUUUGUACGACUUCGCGUGCAAUAGGUGUUUGCCGUUGUGAAGAGCAGACUUGUCGCAGUACAUUCCACACCGACCAUUGUCGCCGAUGGAAGGACGAGGAUCAAGGGUUUGUUGUGCACUUCGAUCUGCCUCUAAUUGACAUAUUCAAUUCAAUAGAGCCUCCACCAAUCCACAACCUCCACCCAACACAACCACCGCCACAUCUACAUCAAAUCUAAAAUCAAAACCACCACCACAACAUUCACCCUAGACACAUACCAAAUCGCCGACUGUAGCUAUCGAACCACCAUCUUCCCCACAGUCGUGAGUCGAUUUCUUUGCGUCGCUGCCUCCAAAACAUAUCGCCAAAAUUUCCCUUCACUUUGCAAUAUCCAAUCAAGCCUAUGUCAAACAACCCGAAUUUUGGAUCUGCCUCUAAAAUAGAUAGUUUUGUGUGCAGUCAGAGAGGAAGGCGAUGAUGGUGGUUCCAGAGAGGAAGAUAAUAUUGUCAUGGAGUAGCUCCUCAUCCAUCUACACUAGCAAUCCUCAGCCAUUUUGUGUGGAAGGUGACAGAUUCAGAGUUACGUGUGAGAGAGAGAGAGGAGUGGGAGAGAGAGAGAGAUUAG